CUGAAAAAUGAAAGAAAAAGAAAUGGCCUCAAAUUAGUAGGCAUAUGGAAUUUUACACAUCUGCUCCUUCAUCGCCUGCUACAGAGCGAGUCACAAAUCUCGAACAUGGCGAAACCCUCUUACAAAAAAAACCCGACGCCCCAUCGAGCACCACUUGCUCCACUACCCGGGAUUCCACUCUCGCCGCACUGUAUUACACUGCCAACUAUCGGCCUGCUGUCACAACACUAUCUGGCAGCCUCAGGUGUCCACACACUUGUAGGCUCACUCCUUGCCUCACCGGCACGAUGAAAGAGCAGGCGUGGGACGCAGUGACAGCAGGUCAACGCUGAACUGACAUCUCCAUCCCCAGACAAGUCAAUGGCUCCACUUCUACUGCUGAUACCUCUUCCAUGCUAAAAAAAAAGAGCAAUAUCACCAAGAGUCAAGAAACAGAAAGCUACUGACACUUCUCAGCCAAUACCAUCCAAAAGAAGGAAAAAUAUCACGAUGGCUCCAGGAGACCUGCCAGAUGAGUACUAAUAUCAGAACCUAGCUAUAAUGAGGAUGGUGAUACCCUCCAAUAAAAUGGGAUAAUAUUUUGUUUUAAAUCAAGGAUGCCAUGAUAAGUUAGAAGUGGUCCAGUGGGCUUGUGGCAAGGACAUCUUCCACAACUCACUUCAGAUGUUUUUGUCCUCAACUGUAAUCUGACCUCUUCAAAGCUGUCCAGUAGAGCUGCCUGAAACUGUUCAAUAAAGUCAGUCAUGUAAU